UACGUAGGUGGCGAGCGUUGUCCGGAAUUACUGGGUGUAAAGGGCGUGUAGGCGGGAAUGUAAGUCUGAUGUGGAAUGCCAUGGCUCAACCAUGGAGCUGCAUCUGAAACUACGUUUCUUGAGUGCUGGAGAGGAAAGCGGAAUUCCUAGUGUAGCGGUGAAAUGCGUAGAUAUUAGGAGGAACACCAGUGGCGAAGGCGGCUUUCUGGACAGUAACUGACGCUGAGGCGCGAAAGCGUGGGGAGCAAACAGG
rnacentral:rRNA from 1 species